CAGCAGGGCGGCCGGACCACCCACACCGCCGUCUCUCUACGCCCACACGACGCCGGAGAACCUCGCAGCGCCGAACCGGAAAAGGACCGUGCGAGCGCCGCCUGGCUCGGUGGCGUUCAUCUCCGGGAGGCGAGAGCGCGUGCAGCGCGCAGCGGCGGAGGCUUUUCUCAUCCCCCACCGCAGCUCCUGGAACCCCAACCCUCUCUUCCGCCCAAACUCCACGCGUCGAGAAAUUCGGGGAGGAUGUCCGGAUUGGCCGCGAGCGCGCUGCCUCUCGCCGCAGGUCCCAACUGCCCGCCGCGCCUACUGACGCCAUGUCCGUGCUUAUCUCCUUUUCCCAGCCAGAUCCUCACUUUCCGCCCGCGGUUUCCUUCGUUACCAGGCCCGUCUCCGCUUCCGUGGUGCAGACCCACUCGACCCAGCGGCCUAACGAGGCCUCCACUACUCAAGGUUGCCGAGCUGCAACCAUGUCUUCCUGGCCGAUUCGCUUCGGCCAGACGGCUGAAAUUUGGGGCUGCGUCGGGCAAUGGGCGUCAGGGACUUCGCGCCAGCCAAUAUCGGUUUGAUGAUGAUGAGCCGCUGUGGCUUGCGGUGGUUAGAGAAUUCGCUGUGAGUGUGAGGAACUUGGUGGUUUUCUUGGCUGAGCAGCCAAGGCAAUUGAAGCACCUCGAAUGGCCGGCCUUCCGGAAUACGUUGAGGACGGCAGCACUUACUCUCAUACUCGUUGUGGUGUUCAUUGUUGCCUUGUCUUCCAUUGAUGCUGCCCUUUCAUACAUUUUGUCCUGGCUACUUCGGAAAUCUGCGUAGUUUACUGACCUGGCAAAUUAUGAAGGAGUAGAUGAUGCUAUACAGGAGGUGGGAAGGUGGUUAAUGUCCCAGUAUACCAUGUUAUCCUGAGUGUUGAGAGAAUCGAAAGGAAUGCUCUGCAACUGGUCUGUUUUUCGCGAAUGUAUAAUGUAUUUAUGCAGUUGCUUACUAUGGUAGUUAAAUGCUAAUUAUUUCUAUUUGGUUGAGAAAGGAAAGAAGACAGAGUUACUCAUUUGCCCCUAAUUCUGUAAUUCAAACUCUUAUCUAGUUGUCGUCAGUUCUUGUUGAAUGUGCUCCACCAGUGAGAAUCUCAACUUGUUACGUUAAGAACUGUUUUCUUUUUCUUGUAAAUGUAUCGGUCCAUAUUCUGAGAUCUGAAUAAAUUUGCAUUUCU
rnacentral:rRNA from 1 species